rfam:Hypholoma sublateritium FD-334 SS-4 unplaced genomic scaffold scaffold_9, whole genome shotgun sequence.
CCUUCGAUAGCUCAGUUGGAAGAGCGUGGGACUGUAAUGCGGCGAGAAUUAUGUAAUCAAUAGAUUACGAGGCAUCCCGAGGUCACUGGUUCGAUCCCGGUUCGAAGGA